rnacentral:rRNA from 1 species
UACGGGGGGGGCAAGCGUUGUUCGGAAUUACUGGGCGUAAAGGGCGCGUAGGCGGCCUUCUAAGUCAGACGUGAAAUCCCUCGGCUCAACCGGGGAACUGCGUCUGAUACUGGAUGGCUAGAGUUUGGGAGAGGGAUGCGGAAUUCCAGGUGUAGCGGUGAAAUGCGUAGAUAUCUGGAGGAACACCGGUGGCGAAGGCGGCAUCCUGGACCAACACUGACGCUGAGGAGCGAAAGCCAGGGGAGCAAACGGG